rnacentral:rRNA from 1 species
UGCGUAGGCGGGUUUUUAAGUCAGGGGUGAAAUCCUGGAGCUCAACUCCAGAACUGCCUUUGAUACUGAAAAUCUUGAGACCGGGAGAGGUGAGUGGAACUGCGAGUGUAGAGGUGAAAUUCGUAGAUAUUCGCAAGAACACCAGUGGCGAAGGCGGCUCACUGGCCCGGUACUGACGCUGAGGCACGAAAGCGUGGGGAGCAAACA